GACGAACGCUGGCGGCGUGCUUAACACAUGCAAGUCGAACGAUGAACUUGGAGCUUGCUCUGGGGGAUUAGUGGCGAACGGGUGAGUAACACGUGAGUAACCUGCCCUGGACUCUGGGAUAACUUCGAGAAAUCGGAGCUAAUACCGGAUAGGACCUUGCACCGCAUGGUGUGGGGUGGAAAGUUUUUCGGUUUGGGAUGGACUCGCGGCCUAUCAGCUUGUUGGUGAGGUAAUGGCUCACCAAGGCGUCGACGGGUAGCCGGCCUGAGAGGGUGACCGGCCACACUGGGACUGAGACACGGCCCAGACUCCUACGGGAGGCAGCAGUGGGGAAUAUUGCACAAUGGGCGCAAGCCUGAUGCAGCAACGCCGCGUGCGGGAUGACGGCCUUCGGGUUGUAAACCGCUUUUAGUAGGGAAGAAGCCUUCGGGUGAUGGUAUCUGCAGAAAAAGGACCGGCUAACUACGUGCCAGCCGCCGCCGUAAUAC
rnacentral:rRNA from 1 species